rnacentral:rRNA from 1 species
AUUGAACGCUGGCGGCAUGCCUUACACAUGCAAGUCGAACGGUAACGGGCCUUCGGGUGCCGACGAGUGGCGAACGGGUGAGUAAUGUAUCGGAACGUACCUUUCAGUGGGGGAUAACGUAGCGAAAGUUACGCUAAUACCGCAUAUUCUGUGAGCAGGAAAGCAGGGGAUCGCAAGACCUUGCGCUGAUUGAGCGGCCGAUAGCAGAUUAGCCAGUUGGUGAGGUAAAGGCUCAGCAAGGCGACGAUCUGUAGCGGGUCUGAGAGGAUGAUCCGCCACACGGGAACUGAGACACGGUCGAGACUCCGACGGGAGGCAGCAGUGGGGAAUUUUGGACGAGGGGGGCAACCCUGAUCCAGCCAUGCCGCGUGAGUGAAGAAGGCCUUCGGGUUGUAAAGCUCUUUCGGCCGGGAAGAAAUCGUAUGGGUUAAUACCCUGUGCGGAUGACGGUACCGGCAUAAGAAGCACCGGCUAACUACGUGCCAGCAGCCGCGGUAAAAC